UUGGCAGUGUACUCCACCAAAGACAUUAACUUUUUUUAAAUCGAUUGUAGUACUAAUCUAAAAAAAAUACAUUUUUUUUAUUCUUUUUGGCUUGCAAUAAUUGUUUAUUUUGGUAGAAAAAAUAUUUGAAUGUGGUUCCAUUGAAAAAUAGCUGUCAAAUUCAAAAUGUCUUCCAAGCGGUCUGAUGCAUCUAGGUCACGGCAGUGCUUGAACCUGACACGACCUGAUUUAGCAGAUAUGCUUAUAUCUAUGUACCGAGCUUUGUACAAGAGCCGACGUCUUGAAAGGGGUCCGGUACAUGGUGAUAUUUGGGUGGGUGAAGGAGAAAAUAAUUCAGAAACCUACGGCUGAACGGCCUGUGGACAGUAUCAGAAAAUGCUGUCGGACAUUUUCCAGAAAUAGCAGAUAAGCAAUCACGCUGUAGGUUUUGCAAAGUUAGAAGAACUAAAGUUUUUUGCGUGAAAUGCAAUGUGCUCCUGUGUUUUAUGGUAGGAGAAAGUAACAAAAGAAAUUGCUUCCGCUAAUCUCACACGCAAUAAAUGCAUGUUAUGUAGGUAGUUUGAUUAAUAUAAGAUUAUAUAAGAAUUAUGAUUAAUAAAGUGAAGAUUUUACUAAAA
rnacentral:lncRNA from 1 species